rfam:Schistosoma mansoni strain Puerto Rico chromosome W, complete genome
UUCCAGCUGAAGAGUCCUAAAUAGAAAGAAACGCGCGUCCUGGAU